rnacentral:rRNA from 1 species
CGGGGGAGCAAGCGUUGUUCGGAUUUACUGGGCGUAAAGGGCGCGUAGGCGGCCAGCGCAAGUCAGUUGUGAAAUCUCCGGGCUUAACUCGGAACGGUCAACUGAUACUGCGCGGCUAGAGUGCAGAAGGGCAACUGGAAUUCUCGGUGUAGCGGUGAAAUGCGUAGAUAUCGAGAGGAACACCUGCGGCGAAGGCGGGUUGCUGGGCUGACACUGACGCUGAUGCGCGAAAGCCAGGGGAGCGAACGGGAUUAGAUACCCCGGUAGUCCUGGCCUUAAACGAUGGAUGCUUGGUGUCUGGAGUUUUAUAGUCUCCGGGUGCCGCAGCUAACGCGUUAAGCAUCCCGCCUGGGGAGUACGGUCGCAAGACUG